rnacentral:lncRNA from 1 species
UCAAUCAUAUAAUAUAAUCGUAAUAUCAACGGUUAAUUAUAGCUUCCUGUAAAUAUAUCAAAUAACAAAUAUAUUCGUACAAACUUUAACUUUUCAUAUUUACUCUUGUAAAAAUCCUAACAUUUUAAAUAUACUCCUGCUGUUACAAUUCGUUAAAAAAAAUAUAGUUAAAAAUAGGUAAAAUACUUAAUCCUGAUUAGUGAAUGAUGUAAAUUAUUUUUUUUAUCCCUCUUAUAUUAUUUGUAAUGGUAGAAAGAAAGAAAAUGGUCUUUGAAAAUUUUUGAAAGAAUAUUUCUGCAUAAUUUUAACAGUUGGGACUUUUGAAUAGAUAUAUUUGUGAUAACAAAAAUAUCAUUUUACUUAUUUUCUGUUAAAAAAUAAAUAGUACUGUAACGGUAACAAACUAAAGGGCAAAUAUGAAUAUCAGUAAAUUUUUAUAGAAAUAAAUAUAAAAAAUUAAAUUUUAUAGUGAUAUAUCUGCUAUUUGAUAUGUUCACACAGAGAGCUGUAUGAAUUAA